rnacentral:rRNA from 1 species
AGUGAACGCUGGCGGUAGGCCUAACACAUGCAAGUCGAACGGCAGCACAGUAAGAGCUUGCUCUUACGGGUGGCGAGUGGCGGACGGGUGAGGAAUACAUCGGAAUCUACUUUUUCGUGGGGGAUAACGUAGGGAAACUUACGCUAAUACCGCAUACGACCUACGGGUGAAAGCAGGGGAUCUUCGGACCUUGCGCGAUUGCAUGAGCCGAUGUCGGAUUAGCUAGUUGGCGGGGUAAAGGCCCACCAAGGCGACGAUCCGUAGCUGGUCUGAGAGGAUGAUCAGCCACACUGGAACUGAGACACGGUCCAGACUCCUACGGGAGGCAGCAGUGGGGAAUAUUGGACGAUGGGCGCAAGCCUGAUCCAGCCAUACCGCGUGGGUGAAGAAGGCCUUCGGGUUGUAAAGCCCUUUUGUUGGGAAAGAAAAGCAGCAGGUUAAUACCCCGCUGUUCUGACGGUACCCAAAGAAUAAGCACCGGCUAACUUCGUG